AUCCUGUUACAUAGUCACUGAGAAGCCACCAGUGAGAUUGGGGCAGGAAGCAAUGGUAGACAAGUCUGAGGCCUCUCAGAAUUCUCUGCCAGGUUGGGAGUUGCUAUUUGCAUAGCACAUCCUUACAGAAUUCUGUGGCCAGUGUGGCAGUUGAUAGCCUUCAUAGAACAGAGGGGAUUCUGGGGGUGAGAUUAGAAUAACUUCUUAACUAUAGAGCCACUCACUUCCCUUUCCAUUUGUAGAAGUUGAGUCCUGAGGAGAUUUCCCUCGAGGAGUGGUGGGUGUGAAUAAUCUUCAAAAUGGUUUUCCUUAAAUAAAUUAGGUGAGAGUUGAAGUGAGUGUCCAAGGGAGCAGAGCAGCAUAGCUUUGGUCAAGUGAAGAACUUGGAGAUUAUGAAUUUUAGAAUUAAACAAGAGCUGAGCAAAAUUCUGGAGUGAGAAAAGCAGUUAACUGAAAAAUUCCAAGAAGAUGUCAACAGUCAGAACUGAUCCCAGGUUGGAUGAGGCAGCCAGAUUGAGAACUGAGUUUUAUAAAAACUUGCUAUUGGAGAGAAAUCUAAAAACUAAGACUACAUAAAGUUUCCCAGCUCUUAGCUGAAAAUAAUGCCUAAGGAGAUCCAUGCUUCUCUUUGCCAGGUGAUCACUAACCCAAGCAGCCCUAGUAGGUGAGAUGUGAGGGUUUGAUGACUCUCAAGAUAACACCUCAUCUAGUCAAAGCUAGAGGAAGAGGUUGAAUGAAAAAUUAAAUAGCUGAGAUCUCUGCCUUUUUAGGAAAAGACUUAUUGAUCACAAUACCCCAGUGCCCACAACUACUACUAAUGCAUGGUGGAGGUAGCUAAAAGACCUGGUGAAAGCUAAAACCUCAGCAUCCAAAAUGGAUGUUAUAUUAGGGAAUGCUGAAAUAUGUGGGGUUGGAGACCAGCUGGAGCAGAAAAGAAAAACGCACAGGUAAAUACAACAGAGCAACACCUGGCUGAGAAUCCCAGAGAGCUUCUGUCAAGGAAUAGAUCAAACAGGGUGGUACAAUAACAUUAGUACAAGAUAUCAGCAGAUUUGCAGCAUAAAAGGACUGAAUUACCUUUCAAUCUACCAUCUUGGUCACAAAUAUUCCCUGCAGGUGCAUCUAUCUCUUCACACAGGCACUAGGGCCACAGAUGGUCUCCAGCCUUAUAAAAGUCCAUUCUUCUCCAGCGAUAUACAGGAAGAAGUGGAACCACAAGGAUUGGACCUGGACAAAGACCCUCCAAAACACCUAUGUACACAGGAUGGCUACCAUGGCACAGACAAGGGAAAAAUGGAUGAGAAAAGGCAGUAUCCAGAUGCUUCCGCCGAUGCCAUGUCCACUGACCUUGAAAGGAAAUCUUCAUAUAACAAUGUAGGCUUGCUCCAGGGUAGAAUCAACUUAUCCCUAGAGGUCUCCCAAGAAUAUUGGAGAAGAUAAAGGAUUUUUUGGAGCAAACCUAGGAUGGCCAGCAUGGAACUUCUAGACACACCUUAAAAUUGGUCCAAGUCCCAAAAUUAUUCUCUCAAACUAAACCAGCUUCUCAAAAAUAAGAAUGACACCUUGACAAAUAAGAACCCACUACCCAGCUCUGCAUUUCAUCUCUUCAGGCUUUUCUUUAUGUAUUCCUUCUCUGCCAUUGGAUUUUACUCCCUUUCCUACCUUUUUCCUCCAUUCCUUUCUUCCUUACCUUUCUUCACCUAUUCUUACCUUCAUUUUUCCUGAGUUCCUCCCUUCUUCCAUAUCACUCUUUCAUCCCUAGAACUCUAGCAAUGAAGGCCUCCAGCUUUCUCCUCCUGCCUCCUCCCUUGCUUUUCCAACUCCAUCUCUUCUCCCACUCAAUGCAAUCUUCUACCAGAGUGCCUCACGCUCAAAAAUCCUCUUAAUUCCUAUCUGUCUUACUCUUGCCCUUCACUGCCCACAAAAUGCCCGUGUCGCUCAAUGACUUGUGUCAUUAGGGAAGCCCCUCACUGAGCCUGGGCACGGCACUGUGCAUAUAGUAGGCAUUUAGUGUUUGUUGAAUUGAAUUCAACUAAUUCACAUGAUUUCUAUUCUACAAACAUUUAUCAAGCACAUACUAUGUGCAAAACACUGUGCUGGGGAAACAAAGAGAAAUAAGAAAACAAUCCCUGCCCUCAAAGAGCUUACUGUCUCUAUGUCAAGGGAAUAUGGACAUUUCUACAACAGUCACAAUGGUGGCAAAGGCCACCAAGCAUCACUGCUCCCCUUUCCGUGUUUCUAGUGCCUUCUUGAAGCUCAACAUAGUUACAAAGCAAUUUUCAAGGUCCAGUGCUAGUUAUUGGGAUGGGAGGAAUGUUUUUAGGGACAUGACAGUUGAAAAGGAAUGUGAGUGUUUCUUCCCAGCCUCAAAAAGACUCAGAAGGAGGUGCUGAGUGGGUGGAAGGCAUGCUGGGCUGUACUCUGAAGUGGGGGAGAAGUGAAUGGAAAUCAGUAGCACUAACAACGCUAGGAACAAGGACUGGGGGACCUUCUGUUGGGUCUUCGAGUCUUACAGCUGGUAAAGUAUCCCUUUUGUGUAUCAGCCAGUGAAAGCUAUAAACUGUGAGACUGAGGAGCAAUGGAGCUGAAAACGUGUUGACUGGCCCUGACGCAUUUUAGCCCAGGUGGUUUAACUCUAAAAGAGAGAUGACACUUCCCUAGGUGGAGCUUUAGUGGAUGAUAUCUAUGGAGGCGAGGGCGGCCUGCGGGGCAGUGAGCUUCCAAACCUCGACAGGAGCAGAUGUGGGGCAGAACAGCGUGGCUGUCCCUCGACCAUGCCAAGGAGCUUGGAGGGUGGAGUUGAGAAGCACCCAAGAAUUUCACUGCAGAGGGAUAGAGCUCAGAUGAGGACUUAAGUGGACUGUUCCAGCCACAGAAAGCACUGACCUCUUUCUCACCCCAAAGCAUGUUUUCCAAUGACUGACUUGAAAAGAAGGCCCUAAACACUUCCCCAUUACUGUACGAAUAUGUAGGACAUUAUAAUUUCUUUAUGUGGGGCUGAGAAUGAUACUAUUGCUUCCUAACAAUUGGAGCUCUCCAAUAACUUCCUAACAACGCUAUCCAAAAGUGGAGUGGCCUUUAUCCGGAGGCAGCAGAUCACCUUUCUUGGAGAUCUUCGUAGAAAAGUCAGGUAUGUUGUAGAAGGGAUUCUUGUUCAGGCAUGGGCUGGACUAGAUGGCCUCUGAGGUCCCUUCCGCCUCUGAGAUUCUGCAAUUCUGCUUGACUUUGCCCUGUUAUUUACUUUUCUAUUCUAUCCCAAUUAAAUCCUCUGCUACGCAAUGUGUGGUUCCCGCCUGAUUUGUUCAUACCUUAGGUCUUGCUUGGAGACUUGAGCCAUAUGUUUAUACCUAUGCUGUUACACCAGAAAUUGUACCCAGGAUAUUUACAGGGGGUCAAAUACAGCUUUGUACCAAUUCUAAUGGUUAAAAUUUCACUGGGAAGGUUUUAAUUUGUUUGAAGCAGCCCUUUAUACCACACAUCUUUAUCUCUUAGGUGAAACUAGCAAUAAGUAGGGAGAAGUCAGCAUUUAGAAGUAUUUAUCCCCCACAUCCUCUCCCAUCUCCAUCCCUCCACUUUUCUUGCUAGAGAGCAGAACUGGUCAUUGCUGCCCUGUUGCCAAAGUUCUAUCAGCAGCUUAGACUAUUAUUCUAGGGCUUUCCUUCUUGGGGAGGAAGCCCUCAACUCCCAUCACACAGGAAGAAAAUAAAAGCUGCCUCAUCAGUGGUGGGCUGGUAAACACUGGAUGGCAAAAGGCAGCUCUUGGGGUAAAGGGGAUGGAAAGGAAUGUACACAUGUACCCUUUUAAGCUUUCUCCAUCACUUAAAUCUAUAGACAAUAAAACGAGCCAAUUCUAAUUUAUGCUAUUUGCCAAUUUCUGAGGUAUAAAUGUUCACACAAUUUAAAACACUAUUGUAUCCCUAAAGACAUGUGAAUUAUCUUACAUGUAGACUAUUUAGCUAAAGGAAGAUGGAACUGUCACUUAGAAACUACCAGAAACUCCAAACUCUGUGCCCCUUAUGCUAUAGAAGGCAUAACAUAGCCUUCCCUAUAGCUAUAGGUGGGCAUAGGUAUCUAGCCCCAGGAUUCUUAAUUCAAGUAUUCAGAAAGAUUUAAGCAGUUUUCUGCUUUUUUCCUAAAAAGUGCUAGGUUUGUCUAGGUAUAAGUGAGGCAGUUAAAUGUUAUAGUAGAGAGUCGGGCCUGGAAUAAGGAAGAUAUGAAUUCAAAUGUGACCUCAGAUGCUGUGCAACUCUGGGAAAGUCAAUCUUCCCAUUUACUUCAGGUCCUCAUAUAUGAAAUAAAAUGAAGUGGCAAACCAGUGCUUUUGUCAAGUGGGGUCAUAGAGUUGGACAAGACUAAAACUGAAAAAAGUAAUAAGUACUGUACAUUCUUUUAUACAACAUAUUAGCUUUAUUAAAUCCCAUAAUAGGAAACUAUAAAUUAUGACUUUUAAGUUUUUUUGUUUUAUUUAUGAUACUGAUAUUAAUGUACUCAUGUAAACUCAAGAGGUUGUGGUUCAUGUUGCAUGAUCAUUUUAAAAGCUUACUUUCAAA
rnacentral:lncRNA from 1 species